CAGUAACAUUGCCUGGCCAAAGGGCUGCUGUGAAUGACCCAGAGUUUCUCAGGGACUUGGCCAGUCAGUGGCAGCUUCAGCUACCCAUGUAACAUCCCUGUCUCUUGCAGCCAUGGAGACUUGAGACUUCCUGCUGAACUCUGAGAUGGCAUUUGCUGCAUUUUUAUCAGGACAGAAGAUUCCCACCCCCGCCCCCCAACUUUCUCUGCAGUACUACAGGCUCGGAGUUUGAUUUGGUAGUGCAAAAUAAGGUUCCAGAUUACCUCUUUAAACUAAUGUACACAAGUGUAAAAUGGAAGAUGACAGUAGAAGAAAAACUGACAAAGUACCUCAACUACUGUAUAUCGCUUGUAGGCUUGCUUCAUGA